rnacentral:rRNA from 1 species
GAGUUUGAUCGUGGCUCAGAUUGAACGCUGGCGGCAUGCCUUACACAUGCAAGUCGGACGGCAGCACGGGAGCUUGCUCCUGGUGGCGAGUGGCGAACGGGUGAGUAAUGCAUCGGAACGUAUCCUGGAGUGGGGGAUAACGUAGCGAAAGUUACGCUAAUACCGCAUAUUCUGUGAGCAGGAAAGCGGGGGACCUUCGGGCCUCGCGCUCUUGGAGCGGCCGAUGUCGGAUUAGCUAGUUGGUGAGGUAAAGGCUCACCAAGGCGACGAUCCGUAGCAGGUCUGAGAGGAUGAUCUGCCACACUGGAACUGAGACACGGUCCAGACUCCUACGGGAGGCAGCAGUGGGGAAUUUUGGACAAUGGGGGCAACCCUGAUCCAGCCAUGCCGCGUGAGUGAAGAAGGCC